rnacentral:lncRNA from 1 species
UUAAAUUCAUGCCUUGAGCCCAUGCAAUAUGCCUUUGGUUAUGAAUGUUAAUAUAAUUAUGGUGAUGGAGAAAUGAAUAAAUGUAUGUGUAAUAGGAUCAUAGAUCUGAUGAAAGUUGUUUCGGGGUAGGAUGAAUUUUAGGGUCUGACAAUUGCCCCUAUUUAAUUUUCUCGGAACUGAAUAUAUGGUCGGCGACGGUUUCCAAUGUGUUUAAGGUAAGAGAGAAUUAAAU